ensembl:lncRNA
CUGUGAAGGGUACAGUAGCUCCCGGCUGAUGGUGGCAUAGCUGUACUGAAUGCAUUGGUGAAGGUGUGGCACUAAUGGGGGAAUAAUACAAUAAUUCCCAGUGUCUUUUAACAUGUGGCUGGAUGCAUCAAUAGGUAUUUGAUGACAUAGAAACUCAAAUAAAUCCUAACAAAAGAAUUCAACAGUGGGCACAUCCUCAGUGAUGUUGACCCAAGGUCAUCGGGUGUUUUGGGUCUCUGGAACAUCAGACACCUUUUCUUGGGCGACCCAGCUAAGGUUGAUCAAGCCUCAGUUUGUGCCCUAGCAGCACUCUCCCACAGAUCUGCUCUCUUGAUCCAAAUCCAUCUGGAGGCUUUCUCUGCUGCCUCUAUGCUGUUACUGAUGGCCCUCCUCUUCUUUUAACCUGUGAUGCCGAAUACAGUAAAAGCCAUACAGAGAGACUGUCCUGCAAAGCCUCUGCACCCUACCUCCACAGAGAGCAUUGUUUUCUGGAGCCUGGCAUUAAACAC